UACGGAGGGGGCUAGCGUUGUUCGGAAUUACUGGGCGUAAAGCGUACGUAGGCGGCUUUGUAAGUUAGAGGUGAAAGCCCGGGGCUCAACCCCGGAAUUGCCUUUAAGACUGCAUCGCUUGAACGUCGGAGAGGUGAGUGGAAUUCCGAGUGUAGAGGUGAAAUUCGUAGAUAUUCGGAAGAACACCAGUGGCGAAGGCGGCUCACUGGACGACUGUUGACGCUGAGGUACGAAAGCGUGGGGAGCGAACAGG
rnacentral:rRNA from 1 species